UUUUCAAUAACUACAGUGUUGUUUAUUUAGAUGGCCAGAGCAGUAAUGGGAGCCUUCCCUCAGUUGCCCCAAAUGCAAUUUGAAACCACCAGGAAAGCCAUGGGAGAAUCUAGGAGGAAUAUGGGUCUCCAAGUCCUUGAGGCAUCAGUCUUUGAUGAAGAGACAUGUGCAAUGUGUGGAGCUGACAGGCCCCCUGGAGAAGCACCUGCCAACACAAACUGGAUCCAGUGUGAUAAAUGUGACCGGUGGUUCCAUGCCGUCUGUUUAACCAUGGACCCCAGGACACUUCAAGAGCUGAAGCAAAAGCAAUGGCUGUGUGUGCUGUGCAAAUAAAUAUUUUACCUGUUACCUGUCCUA